UACGAAGGGGGCUAGCGUUGCUCGGAAUGACUGGGCGUAAAGGGCUCGUAGGUGGCCAACUAAGUCAGACGUGAAAUCCCUCAGCUUAACUGGGGAACUGCGUCUGAUACUGGAUGGCUUGAGAUUGGGAGAGGGAUGCGGAAUUCCAGGUGUAGCGGUGAAAUGCGUAGAUAUCUGGAGGAACACCGGUGGCGAAGGCGGCAUCCUGGACCAACACUGACACUGAGGAGCGAAAGCCAGGGGAGCAAACAGG
rnacentral:rRNA from 1 species